UACCAUAGCUCUGUGUGAAAAUCCAGGCCACGGAAGUCACUGUAAGACGCAUAUUUAUGCGAGGAGUUUCUGUUUUAACUGAUGCCAACACCAAGCUUUUUCUUCCAUUUCGAAGCUUCGGUCCACCUCGUCUACAGCAGCUGCUGACAAGCAAAAGCCGCUGAGUUUUACCAUGCUACCUUUUUCCUUAGAAACAUGACUUUCCAGGUCCGCUCUGGGAACGCUUAGACUGUCAGGUCUAAGCAAUGGUGGGCGUCGCCAUCACUCACCCUUUGUUGCUGCAUUCUUCGCCUUCUGCAGUUGACUCAGGCAUUUUUGCGUUUGGUUUACCUGUAGAAUCCGUUACCUGGUAGGCAUACACUUGCCAAGGUGUCCAGUAAGCGGGGUGCACGCACCUCCCAAGCAAGUCGAAGAACGCAGGCGCGCACGAACCGCUACCGUAUCAGCCACCGGAUGAAGCACUCAGCUUUAUUAAAAAAAGUCUUGACUGAACGCUAUAAUUGGUGCUGGGUCCUACAUUUAUAUCACCGUGCACAGGGUUGUUAUUCGGAGCCACCGAUUCUCAUAGACCGUGACAUGCAUGCGAAGCUUAAUUAGGAGGGAUGGCAAGUACGGUUGGAUUGAGUUGGUAGGGUGGUCGCCAGGAUUGGGAUAGAUCAACCGGGGAUUGAGAUAGACUGACGGGGGGAUUGAGAUUGACUGUGGAGGGAUUGAGAUUGAGACCGAGGUGGAUUGAGAUCGGGUUACCGUUGGAUUGAGAGUGUAGUACCGUUGGAUUGAGAUAGACGCUACCGUUGGAUUGAGAUUGCCUUGGGCCUGGAUUGGGAUUGAUACCCCGGAG
rnacentral:lncRNA from 1 species